GGCAUUAUAGCAUAGUGGUAAUGCAGCAUACUGUUAAUAUGUGAAAUUAUUUUCAAGGAAGGUUCGAUUCCUUCUAAUGCCU
rnacentral:tRNA from 1 species